CCUACGGGUGGCAGCAGUGAGGAAUAUUGGUCAAUGGACGCAAGUCUGAACAAGCCAUGCCGCGUGCAGGAAGACGGCUCUAUGAGUUGUAAAAUGCUUUUGUAUGAGGGUAAACGCAGAUACGCGUAUCUGUCUGAAAGUAUCGUACGAAUAAGGAUCGGCUAACUCCGUGCCAGCAGCCGCGGUAAUACGGAGGAUUCAAGCGUUAUCCGGAUUGAUUGGGGUUAAAGGGUGCGUAGGCGGUCGGAUAAGUUAGAUGUGAAAUCCCGAGGCUCAACUUCGGAAUUGCCUCUGAUACUGUUGGGCUAGAGAGUAGUUGCGGUAGUCGGAAUGUAUGGUGUAGCGGUGAAAUGCUUAGAGAUCAUACAGAACACCGGUUGCGAAGGCAGCUUACCAAGCUGCAUCUGACGUUGAGGCACGAAAGCGUAGUGAGCAAACAGGAUUAGAUACCCCAGUAGUC
rnacentral:rRNA from 1 species